ACCAGGGUGCGAAUGCGCAUGUAAUCAUUUAGGAUGAUAUAUUCAUAUUGCCAUGGCAUACAUUUAUAUAAUCUUAAUAUUCUUUGUCAAUGACCUUAGUGAAACUUGGUCGAUGUAAAAGAAUAUACUCACUGCAUGUAAUAGCUCAAACAAUGUUUGUUUGGUCCGAUUUAACAAAAAUCAAAAUAAACAAAGAAAGUAUUAUAUGCCCAAAAAAGGAAUUGAACCCUAG